AAUAUUCUAUACGCAUUAUUCAAAUGGUACCAACCUCAUUAUCGAAAAUUUCACCGGCUCGAUAUCAGUUGCGCUCGUCCCAAAGUAGUUCUCCAUCGAUCGCCUCGGGGUCGACGCACGGAGGUGUUGGACCAUACUAGUAAUCCAUCCUACAACGAAAAUAAAUAUUAGUAGGCAAAAAAAUGAGAAAAUUACUAUAAAAAUACUAAUAUUACGGACUAGUUGAUUGCGGAAUAAGAAUUUGCUUGUCGGUAUCGCUAAACCAAAGAAGGGACUUGAUGUGAAUUGUGAAUGUGUGAGGAAUGAAGAAGGGGAUGUGAGGUAUUUAUAGAAUCCGUUGGAGGCUACCUACAGCACGCGGUGCAUCCUAUGACGCGCGGCGUGUUGUAGGUAGCCUCCAACGUGUCGCGCGUCAUAGGAUGCGCCGUCCGUUGUAAGUGGGCGGAAUUUCCAUUUCGUCUGAUUUUCGUUUCGAGUUGAUUAUCUACGUAAUUUCUGAUUUAAUCUUGCCUAAAAAAAAUUCCAGAAUUGUGUAUCUGGUGACUUGGAUGGUAAUGAACACCUAUGUAAUAUUUAUAAUUUCUUUCUCUUGUAAAUGUAUGUUCGCCUCAUCUAUCUCCGACUAAAAAUAAAAACAGAGAAAAAUAACAUUUGUACAUGACAUGAAUAAAUAAAUUAUUUGCGUUAAUAGAAAUGAAUAUGUGUAGAUAAUUUAUUAUUAAUAUGAAAAUAUAACAUUGAUGUGUAAAUGGUGAAAUCAGAGCUAUAUCUUGCAAUGGGGUCUAUAUGUAGCCCUUUGGCUGAGGGUAAAAAUCACCAAUAUGCUAUUUAUAUACAUGCAAUGCAUGGGUUUCAAACAUCAACACAUUUGGCAUUACCAUACCGUCUCUGCUAUACUCACCUAGCUUGUUGUCAUACUUUGCUCUAGCUGUUAUUUAUUCUAUAUUGGCUGCUGAUAGAGGGAUUCAAACCUUGUGUAUUGGCUGCUGAUAGAGGGAUUCAAACCCCGAACCUGCCAAUUUCAAAAAAAAUUACGAUUUAGCAAAUCGUUAGUUUGGAUAAAAAAUAUGUUCUCGUAGUUCACUUUUAUAAAAUUAACUCUCUUUAAUUCCUAUAUACCAUUUGAUACAGAAAAACACAAUUCAUUAAUAUCGCACAAUUCUAUCUAACAAAUUCUAUCCCACUUCCACAUCAUCUUAUCUAACAAAUACUACGAUAUCUAUCUUAUUUUCCCUUUCCAUCCUUAUCAUUAGUCAUCAUCAUCACCAUGAUAUCUAUCGGUUAUGUAUAAUAGCAAUGGCACAAUAAUUCUGCAUCUAUCAUAUGACAGCUAAAGCACAUCAAGUACACCUACCAAAUUAUCUUCCUCCAGUCUCUAUUUCUAGUCAUUCUUGGUUUAUCAAUGAAGUUGAGGUUCACAAGCAAAUUAACUAGCAUGUCAAUAAUGAGUAACCAGUUUAACUAAGGGAAGCCUACACUAUGUCGUUUCAAAAAUGGAUAUGUAUCCUAUUUUAUCAAAAAAAUUCUCUGUCAGACAUUUAGAAGCAUAAUUUCUAACAUUCUUAUACGACAUGAAUCGUAAACCGUCUUCCAUAAUCAAAACCCUAAAAGUAAUAUCUAGUAAGUGGGGGAUUGGUGAAUUAUUGGACAACAAAAUCAAAACCUUUGCAUCCAAAAUCAUAUUAAACAUACUUUGUCAUAAAUAACAAUCAAAAUCACAAGCAACGAAUGCAGCUAAUCAUGGAAACAGAAGCCAACUUACAAGAGUGCUGUCAAGGGUGGCAGCAAGAAUGAACUUCCCAUUAGGUGAGAACUUGGCAAAUGACACAACAGCACGGACAUCAGAGAUGAGAACUUGGCAAUAUGAUGGUGAUGAAUGAUAAUUUAAGAUGGGAAGGGGAAAUAAGAUAGAUAUUAUGGUAUUUGUUAGAUAAGAAGGUGUGAAAGUGGGAUAGAAUCUGUUAGAUAGGAUUGUGCGAUGUUAAUGAAUUGUGUUUUCUAUAUCAAUUGGUAUAUAGGAAUUAAAGAGAGUGAUUAGUUUACAAAUUGAGAUAAUAUAUGAGAUAAAAAAAAUGUGAAAUAGAAAUUUAAUAUUCGUCAAAAAAAAACCGAGUACACUGAAAGUUUCGGUAUACCAGGUAUACUGAAGAAUUCAUCUAUUUUAUUAUAUAAUUGACUUUUUAUGAUUACAAAAACAUAUGUUUUGGCCAAUUUUUUAGUUCCACCACUGACAGUAAAAUAACAAACUUCUUUUUACCCAUGGAAACCUGUCUUUUACCCGUGGAGACCUUGUGUAUACAUCUUCUCUGCUUUCCUUAUCUCCUCUAGGCUCUAGCCAUGUGUAGUUAAGCUUAGUGUGUUAUUUGGUCAGGGCCUAUGACCAUGCUAUGAGUAAUAAUGCCCUAAAAGUAAAGGAUUGGAGUUCCCCCAACACCUUGGUAACGUCUGUUUAUCAUUUAUUUGAUCAUUCAUGAUCAUGGCAAAAACGAAAUCCAGUUCUCCAGUAAGGUGCCUGCCGAAGCGUUUCAUGCAACCCGGUAUGUUUUGGAGUUGUUCUUUUUUGGAAUGAACUUAAUUUCAAUCCGAGGGUUGGCAAUUAACGCAUAGGAGAUCGAAGUUGUUAAAGCGAAGCCCUCCCAGAUAAAAGAAAGCCAUGUCGCCGUUGAGCAGCCGCACAAGAGACAGGCAAUCCAAAAAAAGGAUCGCAACGAGGACCAUUAAAACCACAUAAAACCAUCAGCUUGUGGAUAGAAAUGUCGAGGUCCGGUAGGAAUGAAAUGGUACACAUUCGAAGUAGCAAAUAUUGUUACCUAUAUGAUAAUAUUAUUCCAUCACCCACAUGUAUUAAUAUUUGAAUGGCUCGUUUGUACCUAUGUAAAUUGACGCGGUUUUCAGAAGAAAAUGGACCCAUAUAUAAUAAAUAAUUUGAAGCACAAGAUACUUAAUGGUCAUCGAUAACGGGGUUUGUGUCUGUUAGAAAUUAGAGACGUCCACUUCUGAAAAUAGUACGUAGCACCCAGGACUUGAUUGAUGUGAAAACAUUACUCCUCCCAUUUCCACAUAACUUAUUGUACGUACGGACUCUUUUUAAUCUACUAAUUAUCUGCUUCCACUAUUUAUUGUUUGCACAAAUGCUGUUUCAGAUGUGAAGAUUGUCCAAUUUCAAGUUUCAUCAUGCUAUCCCCUCACUUAAAUGAAGUCAUUGUACUUGUAAUUAAUUAUGACUUCUUUAUUACAUACAAGCUAGAGAAAAACAGAAAUUAUGCUAUGAUAACAUUUUUAUUCGAUCAAGCGCAUAAAUAUUGAUGAAUUUCAUUAUUAAAGUUUGGUGAGACUGUUACAGUGAGAAUUUGUUGUCAACCAUUAGAAGGAAAUUUUACCAAAGGUAAAGCUAUAUGGGUACGAUCGUCAUGUAGAAAAACAUAACCUCAUACAACCGCAUCAACCGUAUUGAUUGGGUAACAAGUGAACCGGAAAAACCUAACAACUAGAGUUCUAAACUGAAGCAAGAAACCAACGAGAAAAUAAGGAAACAAACAGAAUCUAGAAACCGAACGAUCGAAAAAGAGAAAAAAUUAGACAAAACGAAACCUAGCAACUUGGAUGUGAUAUCCUUAUAGGGCCCGCUAAAAAAGGCUAGGCUCUUAGCGGUCUUGGGCUUAUGGCUCAGCCAAUGCGUCUAGUUCCGUGCUACCGUUUUGAUGGAAUCAUCCUAACGCUGAACUAGUUGGUUCCCGGGAUAGCGGCAUCGAAGCUCGCAUUUGUUCUCUAUGUGGCUCAUUGUACCACAUACAUAAAAGGAACUUUGGAACUUCUCGUACCUGAUUUCACCAGUAAUCUCCCGUUUGUCAUGUAGAUUGACCACAUGUUCCUUUUUCAAAGGACUGCGAGCAUUUAUGAGAACUCCGAUUCACGUGUAGGCUUCAGGAAAAAUAGGUUUUGUUCUUCUCAUCAUAUUCUAUGUAACACCCGAUGACGUUGUCCAUGGCUUUGUCGACCGUCUUUGAGAGGUAGUUAAAGGGUAGAUGAACCGGUUUGGAUCCAAAACUCCACCAUCUUCAAGGGAACUUGUUGAGGGAUCUUGUCAAGUCGGAGCUCAUGAGUGAGCAGAAACAUGUCAUCUAUGCUCUAGGGACCGUCUUCUAUCUUGUGUGCCGCAUCAUAUCGUGGUUGAAAUGGAACAAGAGAAGACCAUGCUCUAGCGUAUCAAUCUUGACCCCACGGUCGGGUUUCCAAGCUUCAGGCAUCAUACGACGCACGACGUUCAAAUUCACUUCCUUCUUGGUAAGGAAGGAUCCGACCACAAAAUGAUGGUAUUCCCAAGUGGGAGGCUCUUCGAUCAAUUAAGGGAGGGCGAUCGUCGGAUGGGAUGGCUCAUCAAGGAAAAGGGCCGUGAUUUGUUGGUCAAGGGUGGUGGUGGCGGUAGCAGUUGUUGCGGCAGUGGGAGGUGUGGAGUUGGUGGUGGUUACAGUUGUGGCAGCAACGGAGGAGGAGGUAAUCGCACCUGAUAAAUAGGUGCAAUCCACGGCCGAAGUGUCGGUGGUAGAGUCGAGGCUGUGCAUGAAGGGUGAGGCGACAGUGAUUGGGUGUUUGGGAUUAUAGUUAGGUUUUGGUGCGAUUAAAGUGAGAUAGUGGCGGAGGUGGCAGCUAUUUGUAGAUCGAGCGAUGGUUGUGACAAAAACGAGAGGAACAAAAAACUCUAGCUCUCCGUUUGAAAGGAAAACCCUAGCCCUCCAUUGAGAGUAAAACAAUUUGCUAUCACAACAUUUUAU
rnacentral:lncRNA from 1 species